AUUGAACGCUGGCGGCAUGCUUUACACAUGCAAGUCGAACGGUAACAGGGAGCUUGCUCCGCUGACGAGUGGCGAACGGGUGAGUAAUAUAUCGGAACAUACCCAAGAGUGGGGGAUAACGUAGCGAAAGUUACGCUAAUACCGCAUACGAUCUAUGGAUGAAAGCAGGGGACCUUCGGGCCUUGUGCUCCUGGAGCGGCCGAUAUCUGAUUAGCUAGUUGGUGAGGUAAAGGCUCACCAAGGCGACGAUCAGUAGCUGGUCUGAGAGGACGACCAGCCACACUGGAACUGAGACACGGUCCAGACUCCUACGGGAGGCAGCAGUGGGGAAUUUUGGACAAUGGGCGCAAGCCUGAUCCAGCAAUGCCGCGUGAGUGAAGAAGGCCUUCGGGUUGUAAAGCUCUUUUGUCAGGGAAGAAACGGCUGUGGCUAAUAUCCACGGCUAAUGACGGUACCUGAAGAAUAAGCACCGGCUAACUACGUGCCAGCAGCCGCGGUAAUACGUAGGGUGCAAGCGUUAAUCGGAAUUACUGGGCGUAAAGCGUGCGCAGGCGGUUUUGUAAGUCUGUCGUGAAAUCCCCGGGCUCAACCUGGGAAUUGCGAUGGAGACUGCAAGGCUAGAAUCUGGCAGAGGGGGGUAGAAUUCCACGUGUAGCAGUGAAAUGCGUAGAGAUGUGGAGGAACACCGAUGGCGAAGGCAGCCCCCUGGGUCAAGAUUGACGCUCAUGCACGAAAGCGUGGGGAGCAAACGGGAUUAGAUACCCUGGUAGUCCACGCCCUAAACGAUGUCUACUAGUUGUCGGGUUUUAAUUAACUUGGUAACGCAGCUAACGCGUGAAGUAGACCGCCUGGGGAGUACGGUCGCAAGAUUAAAACUCAAAGGAAUUGACGGGGACCCGCAUAAGCGGUGGAUGAUGUGGAUUAAUUCGAUGCAACGCGAAAAACCUUACCUACCCUUGACAUGUCAGGAAGACCGGAGAGAUCUGGUUGUGCCCGAAAGGGAACCUGAACACAGGUGCUGCAUGGCUGUCGUCAGCUCGUGUCGUGAGAUGUUGGGUUAAGUCCCGCAACGAGCGCAACCCUUGUCAUUAGUUGCUACGCAAGAGCACUCUAAUGAGACUGCCGGUGACAAACCGGAGGAAGGUGGGGAUGACGUCAAGUCCUCAUGGCCCUUAUGGGUAGGGCUUCACACGUCAUACAAUGGUACAUACAGAGGGCCGCCAACCCGCGAGGGGGAGCUAAUCCCAGAAAGUGUAUCGUAGUCCGGAUCGUAGUCUGCAACUCGACUACGUGAAGUUGGAAUCGCUAGUAAUCGCGGAUCAGCAUGCCGCGGUGAAUACGUUCCCGGGUCU
rnacentral:rRNA from 1 species